rnacentral:rRNA from 1 species
AGCGAACGCUGGCGGCGUGCUUAACACAUGCAAGUCGAGCGGAAAGGCCCUUCGGGGUACUCGAGCGGCGAACGGGUGAGUAACACGUGAGUAAUCUGCCCUUCACUCUGGGAUAACUGCCGGAAACGGUGGCUAAUACCGGAUAUGACCACUUCGCGCAUGUGAUGGUGGUGGAAAGUUUUUUCGGUGGAGGAUGUGCUCGCGGCCUAUCAGCUUGUUGGUGGGGUAAUGGCCCACCAAGGCUUCGACGGGUAGCCGGCCUGAGAGGGUGACCGGCCACACUGGGACUGAGACACGGCCCAGACUCCUACGGGAGGCAGCAGUGGGGAAUAUUGGACAAUGGGCGGAAGCCUGAUCCAGCAACGCCGCGUGAGGGAUGACGGCCUUCGGGUUGUAAACCUCUUUCAGUACCGACGAAGCGAGAGUGACGGUAGGUACAGAAGAAGCACCGGCCAACUACAUGCCAGCAGCCGCCGUAAAAC